rnacentral:rRNA from 1 species
AUAAAAUUUAUAUAAUUUUAAUAUUUAUAAAAAUUUUUAUAAAAUUUAUUAUGUUAAAGUAUUAUUUUUGAAAAAAUUAAUUAAAUCAUAAUUUAAAGUAAUGUAAAUGAAAUUAUAAAUAAUAUUUAAAAGUAAAAAUUAAUUUUUUACCUUUUGUAUCAGGAUUAAUUAAUUUAAUUUAAUAAUAAUUAUUUAUCUCGAAAAUAAAAGAGCUAAAAAUAAAUUAUUUUUAUUAUUGUAUUAAUAUUAUAAAUUUAUUUUUAGAAAUUAAAUGUUAUUCGAAUUUAUUAAUAUCUAGUUUUUUAUGAAAUAAAUUUAAUUUAUAUAUAAAUUAAUUUAUUUAUGAAAUAUUAUAUAUAAAUAAAUAAUUUAUAUAAAAAAUUUAUGGGAUAAACUAUAAAUUUAAAUUUAUAAUUUUUAUAAUAAAAAUUAUAUUAUAUUCAUAGAAUUUGAAAUUAAUUUAAAAUAUUUAAUAAUUUAAUAAUUAAAUAAUAAAAAUUUAUAAAAUAAAUAUAAAUUUUUAAUAAAAAAAUUUUUUAAAUAAUAAAAAAAAUAAUAUAAUGAUUAAAUAAGUAAAUAUAAAUAUAAUAAUAUUUAUAUAUAUAUAAUAUAUAUAAAUGUAUAUUAAAGGAAUUCGGCAAAUUAAAUAUAUUCACCUGUUUAACAAAAACAUGGCUUAUAGAUUUUAAUUUUAAGUCAAUCUGCCCAAUGAAAUAUUGAAUGGCUGCAGUAUAAUUAACUGUACAAAGGUAGCAUAAUCAAUUGUCUUUUAAUUAAAGGCUGGAAUGAAAGAAUUAAUGAAAUAUAUACUGUCUCUAAUAUAAUUAUUGAAAUUAAAUUUUAAGUAAAAAUGCUUAAAUAUAAUUAUGGGACGAUAAGACCCUAUAAAAUUUUAUAUUAUUAUUUAUAUAUAAAUUAUUAUUAUUUAAUUUAUAUAUAAAUAAUAAUAUUUUAUUGGGGAGAUAAUUAAAUUUAUUAAACUUUAAUAUAAUAAAAAUCUAUAAUUAUAGAAUAUUAAUUGAACUAAUAAAUAUUAAUUUUUAGAAUAAAUUACUUUAGGGAUAACAGCGUAAUAUCUUUUUAAAGAUCAUAUUAAAAAAGAUGAUUGCGACCUCGAUGUUGAAUUAAGAUAUAAUUUAAAUGAAGAAAUUUAAAAUUUAAGUCUGUUCGACUUUUAAAAUCUUACAUGAUUUGAGUUCAGAUCGACGUAAGUCAGAUCGGUUUCUAUCUAUAAUUUUAAGUAAUUAUUUUUUGUACGAAAGGACUAAAAUAAUAAAAUAUUUUUAUAAUAAAUUUAAUUAAUAUAUAUAUAUAUAUAUAUAUAUAAUUAUUUUAGCAAAUUAGUGNAUUAGUGUAU